CGCAGAGUAGAGACCUGCGCGUGGGGCUUGGCCCCGAAGUGCCUGACCAACGGGGAGUUGUGGCAGGACGAAGUGACGGAAACGUCCGCGGUGCAGGUUUCGCAUCCCACUGCU
rfam:Subdoligranulum sp. 60_17 Ley3_66761_scaffold_1063, whole genome shotgun sequence.